rnacentral:rRNA from 1 species
UAAGUGAAUAGUGAAAUCUUGUGGCUCAACCAUAAGUCUGUUAUUCAAACUGGCAAACUCGAGAAUGAGAGAGGUCACUGGAAUUCCCUGUGUAGGAGUGAAAUCCGUAGAUAUAGGGAGGAACACCAAUGGCGUAGGCAGGUGACUGGCUCAUUUCUGACACUGAGGCACGAAAGCGUGGGAGCGAACGGGAUUAGAUACCCCGGUAGUCCACGCCGUAAACGAUGGAUGCUA